rnacentral:lncRNA from 1 species
AGUCAUGGGGUGUAUUAUGAGCACCGAAAUAAGGACUUUACGUGAUGAACCAGUCUAGGAAGGCCAGACCUAUGAAUUGCCGGAGCAGAUCUGACCUUAGAAAGCAGUUUGAGCGGUUGCAUGGCAUGGACUCGCCGAGUCCGAUGAACAGACUCGGCGAGUAGCUUGAAGAUUGCCUUAGAAUGGUCCUGUCCGGGUUAUGGGUUGGAUCGGUGAGUCAGGGCGAGUUAGAGAGGGUUAACAGGUGGUCUGAGUCGAACUGGGACUCGCCGAGUUGUUCUUCAGACUCGGCGAGUUGAGUCGGGGUGGCCCCGCGAUUCUUCCAGGAGGAACUCGUCGAGUCAGGGGGGAUACUCGACGUGUAGAAAGGGAAUCUUAGAGAAUUGGUGAGAACGUCUAGACUCGCCGAGUCGCCCUAGCGCUCGCCGAGUCCGGUCAAAGUUGACCGUUGACCGUUGACCAGAGUGGACCUGUGUUGACUUCUUAGGGAUAGUCAACAUUAGAGAUAUAAAGUGUUAACUAGGGACAUAUGAUGUUAUAGGAGGAUUAGAGCUCGGAGAAUCGGGCACGAGGGAUUCCCAGGGUUGUGAGAUAUCGAGACACGCGAGGUGAGUCUUCUCACUAUACUUUACCUUGAGUAGGUAACCAGAGUUAUAUGAUAGAGUAUUUGUAUGCUAUGUAUGUUAUGUGUUGCACUGCAUUCUUCUAUGUGAUUUAUGCUAUGCUUGUUUACAGAGUUAGAACCUGAGGGUUCACAGAGUAUGGGUGCACGGACCCACAGAGUUAUAGCCUCGAGUGGCUAAUAUGUGUUAUGUGGUAUUUUGGGGAACUCACUAAGCUUUAUGCUUACAGUGUUGGUGUUAUUUGUUUCAGGUACUAGUGAGGAUCGCGGGAAGGCGCCGGCCUGAUCAGUGCACACACGCGGGAUUUNAUGUUGUGGGCCGGAAGGCAUUGCUAUGUGGACCGGAAGGUCAUGGCCUGGAAAGGCGUAUGUGUGCAUUUAGUAUGUUGACUGAUUCGUAGGGUGAUGUUAUGCUAGUGACCGGCUAGGUCGGUAUCUUGAAUAGAGUAAUGCUAUGUUAUGUGGUCUGUCGACCGAUUGCUGACUGUGAACUGUAACAUGAUUAUGUGUUAUGCGUAUCAUUGCUAGACCUAGGGUGUGACCCGGUAUGCAGGGUCGUUCUAUAUUUUGUUAUGAUAGGUAUGCUUGUUAUGCGGUGGGCCGGAAGGCAAUAUGCUAUGGGCCGGAAGGCAAUUUGUUAUGGGCCGGAAGGCAAUAUGUUAUGGGCCGGAAGGCAAUAUGAUAUGGGCCGGAAGGCGAUAUGUUUUGGACCGGAAGGUCGUGGCCUGGAAAGGCGUAUAUGUGGUGGGUAUUUUGGGGGUAUCUCACUAAGCUUUCGGGCUUACAGUUGUGGUUUUAUGUUUUCAGGUUCUCAGGAGUCUGUGGCAAGGCAAAGGCGUGAUCGUACCGUUCCUCGCGUUGGUGUUUUAUGAUAUGAACCUGGGAAAAUACUCUGUUAAAUAAUGUAUUGAAAACCUUUUUGUAACAACGUUAUUAAAAUGGGUGGUUUCGAAAAGUUUUAAUUGUUUUGAAAUUUUGGUCGUUACAAGUUGGUAUCAGAGCCUUGGUUUGAGUGAAUUGGGGGAACAUUCGUGUGACUCCAGUCUCAAAUCGAGGAGGAUUUUAAAAAGAGAAAAUUUAAAAUGGUUUUCAAAUUAAGUAAAGGGAGGACGCGGAGGUACGAUCAGCCGGAGCCAGUAAGUAACCCCAAGAUACCAUACAUGAUAUUUGUUUUAUUUGAGCUUGAUAGAACAGCAUGCUAGAGUUAGGCUAGGGAUCUUCAGGAAUUCAUGAUAAUGUUGCCUGAUUUGUGAUGCCUGUAGCCUAGGGUCCCUUCUGGGAGAUUCUCAGUGUUCCUCUAGUGGUGAGGGUUGAUAGUUGUUAUGCAUGUUCUCUAGGGUAUUGUGGUAGUACUUCAUACAAAUAUGGGUAGGUGCGGAAGGUAGUAUGGGCCCGUACUACUGAAAGCACAGGACCCAUACGCGUAUCAGGGAAACCAUGAUCUCUAGGGUUGGGUUGCGAGAGUUGGAUCCCAGGAUUGUGGGAAGUGUCUGAGAUUGGUAUGGUGUCUUCGGUAUGGAGAUUUCGAGGCAUGAUGAUAGUGGAUCCGGAUCAGGAUCGGGAGCUGGAGAGCGAGUUCCGGGUGGAUCGGUGCCGUCUGAGGUUAUCGAUCAGACGAGCACGAGCGAGUUGGAUGCGAGGAUUCGCGAGAUCCUGCGUGAUGGGGUUGCUGCAUUGUUCCGGGCUGAGUUGCCGGAAUUGUUUGGGUCGAUCAAGACCGCCAUGAUUGAGUAUUUUGAUGAGCGAUAUGCGGCUCUCGCAGAGACGGCUGCCGCGGUGGCUACAGCGGCUGUAGCAGCGGCAAGGGGAGGAGCUAGUCGGGGUUUUCAGUAUCGGGACUUCUAUUAUACGAAGCCUCCCACAUUCGAUGGAGUUCAGGACCCGAUUGUUGCUAUGAGAUGGUUAUCAGACGUGGAGGGGUGUUUCUCCACGAGUUUAUGCCCUGCUGAUCAGAGGGUGAGGUGUGCUCUGAACCUGUUGAGGCUCGGGGCGAAGGAUUGGUGGAGAUUGACCACGGGGUCAUAUUCCGAUGCGCAGAGGGCUGCGGUUUCAUGGGAUCAGUUCAGAGAGAUGUUCAGCACUCGCUAUGUUCCGCGGGAUGAGAGGGAGAGAUUGGCUCGGGAGUUCCUUGAGCUGAAGCAGGAUUCGGAGUCGGUGACUGAGAUCACCAGGAUGUUCACUGAGAGGGCGGUGUUUUGCCCUGAGUUCGUUUCGGAGCAGGCUCAGACGUCCCGAUAUCUGAGUAUGCUCAAGGGGGAUAUCAGACAGUCCGUGUCUGCGCAGAGGUGCGAGACCUUGUUGGAGUUGCAGGAGGCCGCCAGGCGGCGUGAGUUGAAGGUUGAGUUACAGUUGCGUGAGCUGAGGCAGGCUCCGAUGCAGUCGCAGCCCGCCGAAACGGUCCAGGACCAUUGAUGUUAGAGUGGAAAAUCUGAGUGGCCACACUUGUGGGAAGUGUGGGAUGGGUCAUACCGGAGCUUGUUGGUCCGGUGGUGCAUGCCGCAAGUGCGGAAAGGAGGAGCACUAUGCGCGGGAUUGUCGGUAGUCAGUGCCGGUUCGGGAUUUGAGGAUUUGUUAUCAUUGUUGUUAGGUUGGACAUUUGAGGGUCAACUGUCCACAACUUUCUGCAGGACCGGUGCAGGCUCCAGCACCGGCCACUUUGAGGAUUCCAGGAGGAGGUCAGGAUGGAGCGGAGCCCCAAGGGCUCAGGGUCGUGCUUAUCAGCUUGCGGCAGAGGAGGUCAGAGCAGUGUCGGAGGCAACUGCGGGUAUGUUUCUUUCUUGAUGUUUUUCUAUCUUGCGAUUAUGGUGGUGUAUUGUUUGUGCUGGUAUCCUUGUGUGGAUUUAUGUUUUGGGUUUUCGUCUUGGUAUCCAUUGUUCCUUGAGGGUUUGGCAUGGUUAUGGAUUUGUCUUUCGGGUUUUCGUUUUGGUAUCCGUUGUUCCCUGAGGGUUUGGUAUGAUUAUAGUUUGGUGUUUUGUGCUAUCGUUGGUUAUCGUUCGUGAGGGUUAUUAGUGGAGAUGCGGCAUUGGGUUGAGUGUCGGGUAGCAUCUACAAUCGUGGAAUGGAUAAGUGGAGAUCGGAUUCUUUUGAGCGGAUUGAUCAGUGAGGAGAUGUGUUUUGCUGAGGGUUGUUUAUGCUUGUGGGAAGCAGCCAGUGUGUAAGUGUUCUCUUUGUGUAGGGUUGUUUUGGAAGGUCGUUGUUGGCGACUGGUGGUUGUUAGUCAGUGCUUUAAGUGGGGGAGAAUUGGAGAAUUCUCCGGGAGAUCGAUGAGUAUGUGAGGGUGCUUAGCUGUUGGGAUUCAGCAGUGUUCUGUCAGCUCAGAGUAUAGGCUGACAAGAGCGAGUGUCGGGUAUGCGGGGCGGAAUACAGACCUAGGGCAUUUGAUUGUGGAGGCCUGGGAGCAGGCCGGGAUCAAGUUUGAGUAGGUAACCGGGGUUACGUGAUCAGAGUAUUUGUAUGCUUGAUGUACGUGAUGGGUUGUACUGCAUUAAUCCCACGGGAUUUAUGUUGUGCAUGUUUCUAGAGUUGGAACCGGAAGGUUCCCAGAGUUAGAACCUGAGGGUUCGCAGAGUUUGGGUGUACGGACCCACAGAGAUAUAGCCUCGAGUGGCUAAUAUGUGUUAUGUGAGUCGGUCCAGUCAUGCUGGAGACUCUGCUGGUAUUGUUGGAUCAGUUUGAGAUUGCGGAUUGUGUAUGUUGCAGUGUGUUUGCAAUGGAAGGUCUGGCCCCGGGUAGCGAUCUUGUUUAGUUGAGGUAGUGCAUGGGCUUGAGAGUCCCUGCGAGGAGAGUCAGAAUAAGUGUAUUGGAUGGAUAGCGGACACGCUAAGGGUGGUGUAGCGUCGGGCAAGCACCAUGGCAUUUGUCGGAGUGACAUUGUAGCCGGGUGGAUUCCUUGGUAAAGGAAGAGAGAAAGGUAAGAGGUGUGUAACUCCGAGAGGGAGUACAAGUCCACGGAAGUGAAAGUGGCAGAGCAGAGUUAUGUUAGAGCAAUUCGAGUAUGGUUAGUGAGCAGCGUGUUUGCGGCAGUGGAUUAGAAGCUCAUCCGGUUUGGAAUGACCGCUGAGGUCGCGGAGGGAAAUCCGCAAGUGUAGAGCCAAAAGGCUCGGAAGGGAUGUAGAGAGAGAGAGAGAGUCUUGAACUCUCAGUGUGAUUCUGAUCAGGGUAUGGGGUGUAUAUUAGUGAUUCAUUCUGGGAGAUGUUUGAGGAUAUUAUCAGUGCGUCAGGUUUUCCCAACCUGAGGGUGUAGGAGCUAGUCCAGCAUGAGUAUGCGGUUGCAAGAGGGGAACUCGUGAGAGUUGCUCUGAGAUUGAGGAUGGGUCAUUCCGUCGUCGCGGAAUGGAUAGAGUGGAACUCGGAUUGGGGAUUCGAUGGUUCAGGGUUUUCUAGCUCUUAUGGGUCGAGUGAUCGUUGCGAUUUAGAGCAGAGUUGCAUCUUGGGUAAUUCUCGGUUAUUGAGAGUGAUGAUCAGGGGUACAGUCGAUGCCCGGUUCGAGAUGGUGAUCAGGACACCGUGAAGGAGGGGAAUGUAUGUUCGAGUUUCGAUAUUUAUGCCUUGAGAGACCUGGGCCGGUUAAGGCCCGGUGGAGCGUUGUGGGAAUAUCCUUGGAGUUGAGUUGCUGUAGGCUUCGAGGGCGAAGCCUAAUAUAAGUGGGGGAGAAUUGUAACAGCCCGGAAUUCCAGGUAUUGUUAUAUUUAUGAUUUUGGGUGUUUUAAGAGGGGACUCGGCGAGUUGGAGCUCAGACUCGCCGAGUAGGAUCGCAGAUCUGGUCGCGGGUUCGCGACUGGACUCGACGAGUCCGGAUAUGGACUCGGCGAGUCCGCGCUGUUUAGCGAAACCCUAACUUCCCAGGUUUGGGACAUAUAUAAGGGGCCUUAUGGCCGUCAUUGUUCACCCUAGUCCUUUGAGUGAAACCCUAAUUCGAUUGUGAGCAUCUGGAGCAAGGUAGAAGACCAUUAUUGAUCUUGGAAGUGUUAUUUUGCAAGGAGGAGGAGGCUUGGUUAAGGGAACAACAGGAGAAGCCAUAUUCUGAGGGUUGGGGACACAGAGCAACGUUAUUCAGGUAAUAUUUUCGAUUUGUUCCCUUCUAUGUUGAUGUGUAUAUGGAUUUAGGGUUAUGGAACCCUUUUGUGGCUAGAUUGAGUGCUUCCUUAGUCCCCCAAGCGAUUGGAACCCUAUAUUGGGACUCUUGGAAGUCCAGAGUGUCCCAUGCCUGAGCUUUUCGGGAAUCAAUGGAGGUUUUGGAUUGGAAUCCUUAUGCCUUAGGUCAAAACGUCAAUUAUGAGUCAUGGGGUGUAUUAUGAGCACCGAAAUAAGGACUUUACGUGAUGAACCAGUCUAGGAAGGCCAGACCUAUGAAUUGCCGGAGCAGAUCUGACCUUAGAAAGCAGUUGGAGCGGUUGCAUGGCAUGGACUCGCCGAGUCCGAUGAACAGACUCGGCGAGUAGUUUGAAGAUGCCCUUGGACUCGGCGAGUUGUAUGAACAACUCGGCGAGUAGGUUGAAGAUAGCCAUAGACUCGGCGAGUCUGUUCUUGGACUCGGCGAGUCUUGUCGAAGAGUCCCGAUAUUCUAGGGUUGAGUCGAGAAUCGGUGAGUCAAGGGAUGACUCGGUGAGUUGAGGGCGAGUGGACUCAGAGUUGUUGAACUCGGCGAGUCUCGGGGUGACUCGGCGAGUUAGGUCGCGGAUUGAGUGAAGUUUUGGAUAUGGGAACUCGGCGAGUCAUUGGGUUGACUCGGCGAGUAGGGUCAGUCAGGGGUGGACUUUGACCUUGUCUUUGACCAAGGGUUGACCAGUGGUUCCAGGGGUAUUUUGGUAAUUGUUGAUUAUUGUUGAGUUCAGUGCAUUGGUGGCUGUCCGGAGGUGGAGACCGUAUCAGUGAUUGGAGCAGCUUGAGUUAUCUGUUCAGUCGGCAGUUUCGAGGUGAGUUAUCCUCACUAUAUCGCUAGGGUUUAUGGCGCCAAGGCCAACCUUUUUAUCGGAUGGGAAUCCGGGUAGUUGUCAGUUAUUAUGUUAUGGGCCGGAAGGCGUUAUAUGUUGUGGGCCGGAAGGCAUUGCUAUGUGGACCGGAAGGUCAUGGCCUGAAAAGGCGUAUGUGUGCAUUUAGUAUGUUGACUGAUUCGUAGGGUGAUGUUAUGCUAGUGACCGGCUAGGUCGGUAUCUUGAAUAGAGUAAUGCUAUGUUAUGUGGUCUGUCGACCGAUUGCUGACUAUGAACUGUUACAUGAUUAUGUGUUAUGCGUAUGAUUGCUAGACUUAGGGUGUGACCCGGUAUGCAGGGUCGUUCUAUGUUUUGUUAUGAUAGGUAUGCUUGUUAUGCGGUGGGCCGGAAGGCAAUAUGUUAUGGGCCGGAAGGCAAUAUGAUAUGGGCCGGAAGGCGA